rnacentral:rRNA from 1 species
AAAGCUCGUAGUUGGAUUUCUGCUGAGGACGACCGGUCCGCCCUCUGGGUGAGCAUCUGGCUCGGCCUUGGCAUCUUCUUGGAGAACGUAACUGCACUUGAUUGUGUGGUGCGGUAGCCAGGACUUUUACUUUGAGGAAAUUAGAGUGUUUCAAGCAGGCAUCCGCCUUGAAUACAUUAGCAUGGAAUAAUAAGAUAGGACCUGGGUUCUAUUUUGUUGGUUUCUAGAGCUUAGGUAAUGAUUAAUAGGGAUAGUUGGGGGCAUUAGUACUUAACUGUCAGAGGUGAAAUUCUCGGAUUUGUUAAAGACUAGCUUAUGCGAAAGCAUUUGCCAAGGAUGUUUUCAUUAAUCAAGAACGAAAGUUAGGGGAUCAAAGACGAUCAGAUACCGUCCUAGUCUUAACCAUAAACUAUGCCGACUCGGGAUCGGGAGUGAGAGUUAUCCGCUUUCGGCACCGUAUGAGAAAUCAAAGUCUUUGGGUUCCGGGGGGAGUAUGGUCGCAAGGCUGAAACUUAAAGGAAUUGACGGAAGGGCACCACCAGGAGUGGAGCCUGCGGCUUAAUUUGACUCAACACGGGGAAACUUACCAGGUCCAGACAUAGUAAGGAUUGACAGAUU